rnacentral:snoRNA from 1 species
GCAGGGUUUUGGCAGACUGAGGCCCAUGGGCCUCUCAUGUCCCAUGUCAGAGCAAACCAUAGCCCUGAACCAUUGCCUUGCCUCCUAGCCCAUCGGGUUCUGGCACUGAAUCGAGUUGCACAGUG